rnacentral:lncRNA from 1 species
UAGCAAUUAGCGAACGACAUAAAGAGGAAGAUGUAAAGUGAACCUGGAUGAGAAUAAGGAGCCGUGGCGAGGGGAGACUCGAGAGGCCGGGGAUGGAGUGGCGGGUGCGAGUCCACUGAGCUUCGAUGGUCCCGUGGCAACGGAAGGCGAUGAUUGGAUGCGAUUCAAGAAGGUUUUUGCGGAAGAAACGGAACGUUGAACGAAUUUUCUAGCACAACUGGACGCCAUUUUUGGCCUUUUUGUUCAAAUUUUGGUUCUCGUUAAACCCUAGGGUAUUAAACUGUGAGAAUCAGAGAGCCGAUCGGCAACGGCAAUUCAACAGACCGGUCGAUCACUAAUGGGCCUGUCCACACCAUAGGAAAAGGGCAAUUGACAAAACUAUUAACCAAAAUAUAUUGAAAAAAUCAUAAAUGCAUGCUUAAUAUAUAUCAUUUCAUUUUAUGCUAUUGAAUUGUUU